rnacentral:rRNA from 1 species
UACGUAGGGGGCAAGCGUUGUCCGGAUUUAUUGGGCGUAAAGAGCGUGUAGGCGGCCUGGAAGGUCAGCUGUGAAAACUCGAGGCUCAACCUCGAGACGUCGGCGGAAACCAUCUGGCUAGAGUCCGGAAGAGGAGAGUGGAAUUCCUGGUGUAGCGGUGAAAUGCGCAGAUAUCAGGAAGAACACCCGUGGCGAAGGCGGCUCUCUGGGACGGUACUGACGCUGAGACGCGAAAGCGUGGGGAGCGAACAGG